rnacentral:tRNA from 1 species
UAUCGUUUUGGCGAAAUGGCCGAGCGGUAAGGUGGAGGACUGCAAAUCCAUGUUCCCCAGUUCAAAUUCGGGUGUCGCCUGAU